rnacentral:rRNA from 1 species
GUUUGAUCCUGGCUCAGAGCGAACGCUGGCGGCAGGCCUAACACAUGCAAGUCGAGCGGCCGUAGCAAUACGGCAGCGGCAGACGGGAGAGUAACACGUGGGAACGCGCCCUUCGGUUCGGAAUAACUCAGGGAAACUUGGGCUAAUACCGGAUACGCCCUUACGGGGAAAGAUUUAUUGCCGAAGGAACGGCCCGCGUCCGAUUAGCUAGUUGGUGAGGUAAUGGCUCACCAAGGCGACGAUCGGUAGCUGGUCUGAGAGGAUGACCAGCCUCACUGGGACUGAGACACGGCCCAGACUCCUACGGGAGGCAGCAGUGGGGAAUAUUGGACAAUGGGCGCAAGCCUGAUCCAGCCAUGCCGCGUGGGUGAUGAAGGCCCUAGGGUUGUAAAGCCCUUUCAGCGGGGAAGAUAAUGACGGUACCCGCAGAAGAAGCCCCGGCUAACUUCGUGCCAGCAGCCGCGGUAAUA